GCGGUGGUAGUCUAGUGGUGAAGACGCUGCUCUCCCAGUCACUCUUGCCGUCUCUGGCAAACGGAAACCGUGAAGCAGAAAUCGUGAGUUCGAACCUCGCCCACCGCA